GAUGAACGCUGGCGGCGUGCCUAAUACAUGCAAGUCGAGCGAACGGACGAGAAGCUUGCUUCUCUGAUGUUAGCGGCGGACGGGUGAGUAACACGUGGAUAACCUACCUAUAAGACUGGGAGAACUUCGGGAAACCGGAGCUAAUACCGGAGAAUAUUUUGAACCGCAUGGUUCAAAAGUGAAAGACGGUCUUGCUGUCACUUAUAGAUGGUUCCGCGCUGCAUUAGCUAGUUGGUAAGGUAACGGCUUACCAAGGCAACGAUGCAUAGCCGACCUGAGAGGGUGAUCGGCCACACUGGAACUGAGACACGGUCCAGACUCCUACGGGAGGCAGCAGUAGGGAAUCUUCCGCAAUGGGCGCAAGCCUGACGGAGCAACGCCGCGUGAGUGAUGAAGGUCUUCGGAUCGUAAAACUCUGUUAUUAGGGAAGAACAUAUGUGUAAGUAACUGUGCACAUCUUGACGGUACCUAAUCAGAAAGCCACGGCUAACUACGUG
rnacentral:rRNA from 1 species